GUUAGAGAAUAAGAGUACCGAGCGUGACCAACGUGAGAAGUCACUUCGAUGUCUACUCAUCGUCAGUGACUUACUCAAUAUUGCAGUACUGUGACCGGUCCUUUGGCCAAACACUUGAUCCCUAGUCAUUCAAAUCCUUGCGGUGCAUGUUGGCUAAAGUAGGUAUGUUGUAGUAGUGUAUGCAUCUGUAUGGAAUAUAUAUCUCUUGGUAGAUAGGGGCGUUAGUAUUAUGUGAUUUAUGAGACCGAGUUUAAAAGAUCUUGGCUAAGACAGAGUUAAUAGCGGAAAAAAUUUUCAAUAUUAGAAACUCGAGUCGAAUAAAUUUAACAUAUCUGAUUGUAACAUACCGGAUUUUGAUAUAAAAGUAAAAAAUAAAUAAAAAUAAUGUGAGAUACUAUUUUUAUUAUUGGACUUAUAAAAGCAAAAUGUAAGUUUGAAAUGACCUGUGCUGAAAUCGAAAUAAAAACAGAAAAUUUAGAAUUUUCUGUGAGAGACGGGGCUGACAUUUUAGCAGAAAAUGCACAGUGUCAGAAAAUUAUGAAAACUGGAGAAUAUGUCAAAAUUAUUUUUAUGAGGCUAGAUUUAGAGUUUCAUACCAUUCUGACACCCGAAAGGUGGAAAAUAAAAUCCGACAGUUAUCUGAUAAAGAUUACAGUUCGGUACAGCUUUCGGUGACCAAACGGGGUCGAAACUGAAAGAUUAAAAUUUCUUUC
rnacentral:lncRNA from 1 species